UUGGCAAACUCGUGCAUGAGAGAUGGCAAGCUGGUGAACGUGAGGACGGGGAUGAGGGCGAACGGCAACUAGGAGACAUGAAGAAGAAGAGGGAUUACACUACAAUACAGUGAUCCCACUUCAAGUCCUUUACUCAGGUUUAAGAAAUGCACCUCAGAGACGGGUGGGGCAGUGUUGUGGAAUGCUUGUGUGAGGCUGACCUGCAUGCUCUGCAGCACAUUCAGGAAGUCGUUCAUGCCCGUCAGGUGCCGCACGUCCUGGAAAAUGGCCACCAGCAGAGUGGGAGUGAUGGCGAUGGAGCGGGUCAGCAAAACCCGAGCGAAACGCGACCAGCGCAGGUUCAAGAAGCCCUGAGGAGAGGGACAACACGUGUUUUACAAUAAGAGUAUAUAAGUUAUAAGUGAAAGCCUCGGCAAACACAGCCACCACAAACACAUUGAUGAGGAACGAGACGAAGAGCGCGAUGGUCGACUCGAUGAAGAAAUAUUUGUUGGCUUCUCUCACCUCUUUCUUGUUCGAUCGAUCCACCUCUCGA